CAUUGAAAAUAUAGGGCCAGAUUUACUAAAGAGGUCAAAUUAGCAUGAGUCCAAAAUCCCAUAAAAGUGUAGACUGAAGUGUAAAGUUCUGCUGUUGAUCCACUGACAAUUUAGUUGCAAAAACAAAUUCCCAAUUUUUCAUCACUGCAUUUCUUUAGUAAUCCUGACAGUACUAUGGUGCAAGCUGUUAGUAAAUCUGGCCCAUAAUAUCAAAAUAUUGUAGAAACAUUUUAACCUUCUGUCAUUUCUUCAGAUGUACAUGGAAGCUUUGCUUCUCGCUUCGCAAAAAGCAAGAUCCUGUCAGUAUACCAGCCAUUUUUCAAACAGUUUUGGGGCUGCAUCUUGAAGUAAAAUGUGAAAGUCCUGUGCAAUCUAAAAGCAAAAAUAACAA